rnacentral:sRNA from 12 species
UUUACUUACAGGUUGAAAAAACACUGUUAAAUCAAGUGGGUAAGAGAUUGAUCAAUUAAGCGUAUGUAAAGUACGUCUCCCCACUUGGAAAGGUCUUGUUAUGGUAACAAGACCUUUUUUGAUUAU